rnacentral:rRNA from 1 species
AACGAACGCUGGCGGCAUGCCUAACACAUGCAAGUCGAACGAGACCUUCGGGUCUAGUGGCUCACGGGUGCGUAACGCGUGGGAACCUGCCCUUAGGUUGGGAAUAACUCCCCGAAAGGGGUGCUAAUACCGGGUAAUGUCUUCGGACCAAAGAUUUAUCGCCUUUGGAUGGGCCCGCGUUGGAUUAGCUAGUUGGUAGGGUAAAAGCCUACCAAGGCGACGAUCCAUAGCUGGUCUGAGAGGAUGAUCAGCCACACUGGGACUGAGACACGGCCCAGACUCCUACGGGAGGCAGCAGUGGGGAAUAUUGGACAAUGGGCGAAAGCCUGAUCCAGCAAUGCCGCGUGAGUGAUGAAGGCCUUAGGGUUGUAAAGCUCUUUUACCCGGGAUGAUAAUGACAGUACCGGGAGAAUAAGCUCCGGCUAACUCCGUG